rnacentral:lncRNA from 1 species
AGUAUCUAUCAAAUAAAAUUGAGAAUGGAAAUGGGGAAUGUGUCAAAGAGACAACAACCCGACCAAAUAAAAAACAACAGCAGAGGGUCACCAACAGGUCUUCAAUGUAGCGAGAAAUUCCCGCACCCGGAGGCGUCCUUCAGCUGGCCCCUCAACAAAUAUAUACUAGUCCAGUGAUAAUGAACGCCAUACUAAUUUCCAAAUUAAUCAAAUUAAUCAAAA